rnacentral:rRNA from 1 species
CUAUGUAGGGAAGGGAUAAACGCUGAAAGCAUCUAAGUGUGAAGCCCACCUCAAGAUGAGAUUUCCCAUUUCUUUAAGAAAGUAAGAUCCCUGAGAGAUGAUCAGGUAGAUAGGUCAGGAGUGGAAGUACAGUGAUGUAUGGAGCGGACUGAUACUAAUCGAUCGAGGACUUAACCAAU